GUGACUGGCCCUCGUCGGGAAGAAAAACCGGCACCGUCCGCCGGCGAGGGCCAAAAAUGACGGACGACGAUAUUUGCACCGAAGGGACGAAUCGGCACCGGAGCCGGCCUGCUGCCUUGGAUCACUGGACGAAACACGCCGGCGCGCGUGGCAUGUUGGGAGUGAACAAUCUCCGCAAGAUCAACGCAGGCGGGGAGAAAGUUUG